rnacentral:rRNA from 1 species
GAUGGCUACCACUUCUAAGGAAGGCAGCAGGCGCGCAAAUUACCCAAUAGCAAUACGCUGAGGUAGUGACAAGAAAUACCAAUAUGGGUCCCCGCAAGGGAUCUGUAAUUGGAAUGAAACCAAUUUAAACCUCUCAAUGAGUACCAAUUGGAGGACAAGUCUGGUGCCAGCACCCGCGGUAAUUCCAGCUCCAAUAGCGUAUAUUAAAGUUGUUGCAGUUAAAACGCUCGUAGUCGGCUUCAGACCCCUACUUCGUUGGUCUACCGGAAGGUGUGUACUGACAUGUGGGGGUCCCAGCUCUGUCGAUCUUCCGGUCUUAACUGGCUGGUUGAAAGACGGGGCCUAUUACCUUGAACAAAUUAGAGUGUUUAAAGCAGGCCAAUAAGCCGGGAUAGAUUAGCAUGGGAUAACAUAAUAAGACAUGUGCUUUUUUUGUUGGUAUGGGGGGCAUAUGUAAUGAUUAAAAGGGGUGAUCGGGGACAUACAUAUUUCAUUGUCAGAGGUGAAAUUCUUAGAUUGGUGAAAGAUGAACAAAUGCGAAAGCAAUUGUCUGGGGCACCCCCAUUGAUCAAGAACGAAAGUUAGGGGAUCGAAGACGAUCAGAUACCGUCGUAGUCCUAACUGUAAAUUUUGUCGACCAGAAAUCGCGGGAUGUUACUUGGAUGACUUCCGCAGCAUCUUUCGGGAAACCAGAGUUUUUGGAUUCCGGGGGGAGUAUGGUCGCAAGGCUGAAA